CCUACGGGGUGCAGCAGUGAGGAAUCUUGGUCAAUGGACGCAAGUCUGAACCAGCCAUGCCGCGUGCAGGAAGACGGCUCUAUGAGUUGUAAACUGCUUUUGUACGAGGGUAAAUCCCGAUACGUGUAUCUGGUUGAAAGUAUCGUACGAAUAAGGAUCGGCUAACUCCGUGCCAGCCGCCGCGGUAAUACGGAGGAUUCAAUGGUUAUCCGGAUUUAUUGUGUUUAAAGGGUGCGUAGGCGGUUCGAUAAGUUAGAGGUGAAAUCCCGGGGCUCAACUCCGGCACUGCCUCUGAUACUGUCGGGCUAGAGUUUAGUUGCGGUAGGCGGAAUGUAUUGUGUAGCGGUGAAAUGCAUAGAGAUCAUACAGAACACCGAUUGCGAAGGCAGCUUACCAAACUACGACUGACGUUGAGGCACGAAAGCGUGGGGAGCAAACAGGAUUAGAUACCCCUGUAGUC
rnacentral:rRNA from 1 species